GACGAACGCUGGCGGCGUGCUUAACACAUGCAAGUCGAACGGAAAGGCCCUGCUUUUGUGGGGUGCUCGAGUGGCGAACGGGUGAGUAACACGUGAGUAACCUGCCCUUGACUUUGGGAUAACUUCAGGAAACUGGGGCUAAUACCGGAUAGGAGCUCCUGCUGCAUGGUGGGGGUUGGAAAGUUUCGGCGGUUGGGGCUGGACUCGCGGCUUAUCAGCUUGUUGGUGGGGUAGUGGCUUACCAAGGCUUUGACGGGUAGCCGGCCUGAGAGGGUGACCGGCCACAUUGGGACUGAGAUACGGCCCAGACUCCUACGGGAGGCAGCAGGGGGGAAGAUUGCACAAUGGGCGGAAGCCUGAUGCAGCAACGCCGCGUGCGGGAUGACGGCCUUCGGGUUGUAUACCGCUUUCGCCUGUGACGAAGCGUGAGUGACGGUAAUGGGUAAAGAAGCACCGGCUAACUACGUG
rnacentral:rRNA from 1 species